AGAAACAAAAAACUGACCUUGGCGAUGUAAAGCUGUCCCUCUGAAAACAUGUAGUAAAAUGGCUGCUAACUUUAAGCGUCUUAUUUUUGGAUGACGUAGGUAGGGGGGAGCGAAGAGUUGUGGGCGUUUAGCCAAUGCGAAGUGAUUUUCGUCAUCUGUAACUCGUCUCCUAUUAUCGGAGGGCGCCGGAAACCUCGUGAAUCGUGUUAAGAGCUCAAAAAAUGGCGCUUGGCUUGCUCUUAACACGAUUCACGAGGUUUCCGGCCCCCUCCGAUAAUAGGAGACGAGUUACAGAUGACGAAAAUCACUUCGCAUUGGCUAAACGCCCACAACUCUUCGCUCCCCCCUACCUACGUCAUCCAAAAAUAAGACGCUUAAAGUUAGCAGCCAUUUUACUACAUGUUUUCAGAGGGACAGCUUUACAUCGCCAAGUGAUCUGAUUACUAAAUAUGCUUCUUACGAGUGCCGAAUGCAAUCCAGUUGAAGUCUGUUCGUUGUGAAGGGAGAAAAUUCUCAUGACUAUAUUGCUGAACACAUGUGGUUUGUGAGACAUGAUAUCGACAUGAAAUUGCUACUUGAAUAACAGUAUCGAUGCAAUUCUUGGAUGCAAUGGAAGAAACUACGGUAAAAUUUCUGCAAAAAUACAGAAUUUUGCUGAAAAUUUUUCUGAAGGGAACAAAGAGGAAAUGCGUUUUCAGACAGCCGCUGUUGCCGAAGAUUGCACAAAGCCGAGUAUCCACAAUUCUCUGAUAUUUUUUAAGUGAAAACAGAUCGGUGUGUACUUCGAAGAAGAAUAACGAAUAUAUAUAAAGAUUCGAAGAAGAAUGUGGAUGCUCCAGUUCACUUGUUCUAUGGUAUGACUUUUAUGCAGAGUGGCGCUCUACCCCAUAUUGAUAGACAUGUGAAAGAUCUCUUGCACACAUCGUUUGGUGAGGAUCGCGAGCUGAGCCGUGACCUUCGGGAGAGAGAAGGUCAUGACACUUUAUAAACAUGGCGGAGCUUUCCGUCCGAUGUUAUCGUCGGAGAGUCAUCUGGAUUCUUAAAUUUUCCUCGGAAAUAUCAUUUUAUCAUGUUGCUUAGUUUACUAAAAGAAAGGAGGAUUUAUGUACAUUAUUUUCACUUUUUAGGCUUUUUACAGAUAUUUUAAUUAACUUUGUGCAUAAAUAUAAAUGAAAGAACCGAAAAACAAACGAACAUUUUACAAAAAUUUAAACGCUGAUUGAAAAUUGCCACUGCCAUGGUAAAUUGGAAAGGGGUUCUUAAGAUAAUAAUUAAUAUUUUAUCUAUGUUCAGGUAUUAAUUUAUUCGCGUUUCACAGCAAAAUAUAUAACCAUCAACUUCUACAUAUCCAACGUAUGUAAAUGAAAUACUAUAUAAAUGAGCUAACAAAUGUGAUAAAAAUAUUUCAUACAAGAAGCAUACCUAAAUCUUAUAACAUAAACGCCUUCCAGCAUUCGUAUUUGAAAUGAGAUAACCUAACAAAUAACAUACACAACUAGCAAUAUUUAAAAAAACACAUAAACUAUGCAGUGUUUGAAAGUUACCAGAAAAAAGUAACAGAACUACUAUUUCUAAUUAAUAAAAAAUCAUUUAGUUAGCAAGAAGUUAAAAGUACAAUAAUUAGUAGCAAUGCUGAUGAUUUUUAACAUCAUUUCUUAACAUACACAGUAGCAUACCACAUGCAUUAAAGACUCUCUUCCCGAAACAGCAUACAGUGAAACUUUUUUAUCCCAUUUAUCAUGAAUUUUCCUGCUAUCACAAAUAUAUACAAAGGUUAAGCAAUGAAAAUAAUAUACUUUAAUAGUAAAAACUCUAAAUUUAGACAUUUAUAUUUAUACUCUGGUCAUAUCUUAGCAAAUACGUAUAACUUAUCUUUUAAAUGGCAUAAACUAUGCAGUGCUUGGAAUUACAAAUACUGUAAGAAAAUUAAUAAAACUGCAUUUUACAAUUGAGAAAAUAAAAAUACUUAAUUCUUUUAAAUUUCUUUAGUUUUCGUUCAUUUGAAGCAGAAAACUUACUAUCUUGUAAUACUUUUCUAUAAUUGUUUAAACAAAUGUUUGCAAAUGUAUUUAGCAUUUUGAUGACUAUAUUAAAGAAAUUACAGUUGCAAAACUAACAUAUUUCAUUACCAAGUAGCCCACUAAUAAAUAUUUUAAAAAGUGAAAUAAUGACUGAAUGCUGAUUUUGGCAUUUUUGAAAAUGUGUUUCAUAUUUCUUUGAUAUAAGUUUUCUAAAAUGCAACAAUUAUAUAUAUUAAAAACUAGUAUGGACGGUUUCUUAAGACUACCUCUACUUACCAUAUCUAAAUAUGUGCACUUAUCUUUGGUUUCUGUUGUUUGAUAUAAUGAAAGAUUAUCAUAAUCUCCACCUUCAAUCAAUAAAUUAUGCAAACUUAAUAUCUUUUCUUUGCAGAUUACACACUGCAGUUUCAAAGAAUGUACAUAAUAACCAGCUAUAUAUAUUAAAGUUUGCUGUUCAUUAAUUGAUACAUUUAACUCCACAUCACAGCCGUUAAAUCUGCAUGGAUAUUGGAUAUGCGUCGUCUUUUAACAUUGGACGUUUUCUUGGAAUUCUUAAAAUCGCCCCAUUUUUAUCCAUGAAUACAUCUUCACGCACAAUCAUAGCUUCUCGAAAAUGUUUUUCACAAACAACACUUCGUUUAGAUGGUAUGAAAUUCGCGUGAGGAAUCUUACGGCACCAAAGCUGCUUUUUUGCUUCAUCCGUUGGAAAUUUGUACACACUCACGUAAUUUUCAGUUCCAGCAUAAUUAGAAUUGCACUUAGGUACGCAACAAUGGUCAGGCAUUGCUACAAUAUUAACAAAGUCCGCACUAAACAACAAACUAUAUUGACAAAUUUAGAGCUUUACUAGAACGCACACGCGCCUUGUGGUAGUUACAAAACUAAUGGUGGGAAAACGAUGGACGGAAAGCAUGACUCAUCUCUGACUUCUUCGACGAGUGUCAUAGCCUUCUCCGUCUCGAAGGUCACGGCUGAGCCGCCACUUCCGUCAAGCUUAGCCUCUCAGAUCUCCAGAAUUAUUGGUUGUGAGGUUAAUUGAUAUCGCAAGUCUACCGUGAUCGUCCGACUUCAUGAAGGAUGCUAAAAGGCAAGAUCUGGUUGCAGUUUCUCACCAGACCUACAGAUAUGCUUCACACUACUAUUCACACCAUUGUCCUUCGACUACAGAUAUUGUUGAUGAAUGACGGCCGACAUGUUGAAGAUUUGUUAUAAAGAACAUAGGCUUUGUUAAAAAUAAAUUGGUAUGCUAAUUAUUGCUUUUGUUAUCAUAUGAAGAGCAUCUGUUGGCCGUUUCAAGCACCUUUUUCUUUGUUUUCAGUAAAACCUCAUGGCACUUCAAGCAUGUGUGACGGUUUUUACCUCUAUACCUAUAAUAUUCAGUAAAUUAGUGAUUUUUCAAAUGUUAACAGACUUUGGUGUCACCCUGUAUUUAAGUAAGUAAUUUUAACUGCAUUGAAAUUACUAUAAGGCGUAAAAGUUAUGUUCUUGAUUUACCGAAAGCAAAUUAUUUCAAUUGUGUGUUAAAUAUAUUUAAUCAAAUAAUUUUAUCAAAAUUUAAAGAACUAUAACACAUAAAAUUCACGUUACUGGUUUACAUUAACCAUUACUA